rnacentral:rRNA from 1 species
UGCCAGACUCCUACGGGAGGCAGCAGUGAGGAAUAUUGGUCAAUGGGCGGAAGCCUGAACCAGCCAAGUCGCGUGAGGGAAUAAGGCCCUACGGGUCGUAAACCUCUUUUGCCGGGGAGCAAGGGCGGGGACGUGUCCCGGCCCGGAGAGUACCCGGAGAAAAAGCAUCGGCUAACUCCGUGCCAGCAGCCGCGGUAAUACGGAGGAUGCGAGCGUUAUCCGGAUUUAUUGGGUUUAAAGGGUGCGUAGGCGGGCUUUUAAGUCAGCGGUAAAAAUUCGGGGCUCAACCCCGUCCGGCCGUUGAAACUGGCGCGCUUGAGUUCAGGCGAGGUAGGCGGAAUUCGUGGUGUAGCGGUGAAAUGCAUAGAUAUCACGAAGAACUCCGAUUGCGAAGGCAGCUUACCAGUCUGCGACUGGCGCUCAGGCACGAAAGUGUGGGUAUCGAACAGGAUUAGAUACCCGGGUA